rnacentral:sRNA from 23 species
AAAUAGAAUGAUGAAAGGAAUGAUGGAUGAAUAAUGAUUAACUAAUUUAUAUUUUAAGUUGAAUUUUAUAACUUCAAACUACAAAAUAUAGGGUUAGUCUAUCCAUUUUUAUAAUUCAUUUCAUACUUUAUUUGUCAUGAUUCAAAUGAUUAAUAAGUACUUACUUAAGUAUAAGCGACAGACUAAUCCUUCCGAUUAAAAAUUGGGGGAUUUUUUU